UUACGGCCAUAUCGCGCUGAAACAUCAGUUCUCGUACAAUCACUGAAGUUAAGCAACGUCGAGUUUAGUUAGUACCUAGAUGGGUGAAAACUUGAGAAUACCAGGUGGUGUAUG